UGGGCAACCUGCCCUCAGCUCUGGGAUAACUCCAAGAAAUUGGGGCUAAUACCGGACAUGACCGCUGACCGCAUGGUCUGGUGGUGGAAAGAUUUAUCGGCUGGGGAUGGGCCCGCGGCCUAUCAGCUUGUUGGUGGGGUAGUGGCCUACCAAGGCGACGACGGGUAGCCGGCCUGAGAGGGUGACCGGCCACACUGGGACUGAGACACGGCCCAGACUCCUACGGGA
rnacentral:rRNA from 1 species